GAUGAACGCUGGCGGCGUGCCUAAUACAUGCAAGUCGAGCGAACAGAUAAGGAGCUUGCUCCUUUGACGUUAGCGGCGGACGGGUGAGUAACACGUGGGUAACCUACCUAUAAGACUGGGAUAACUUCGGGAAACCGGAGCUAAUACCGGAUAACAUUUGGUACCGCAUGGUUCUAAAGUGAAAGAUGGUUUUGCUAUCACUUAUAGAUGGACCCGCGCCGUAUUAGCUAGUUGGUAAGGUAACGGCUUACCAAGGCGACGAUACGUAGCCGACCUGAGAGGGUGAUCGGCCACACUGGAACUGAGACACGGUCCAGACUCCUACGGGAGGCAGCAGUAGGGAAUCUUCCGCAAUGGGCGAAAGCCUGACGGAGCAACGCCGCGUGAGUGAUGAAGGGUUUCGGCUCGUAAAACUCUGUUAUUAGGGAAGAACAAACGUGUAAGUAACUGUGCACGUCUUGACGGUACCUAAUCAGAAAGCCACGGCUAACUACGUG
rnacentral:rRNA from 1 species